rnacentral:ncRNA from 2 species
UUUACCAUGCCGCGCGUCGGUUUCCGAGAGGAACUAACAGGGAAUUCGCCCGCCUUUUUCCACCAGGCGAAAAACGAAACUGCCCCCGCAACUGUAGGCACCGAGCCUGCUCCAUGAC